rnacentral:rRNA from 1 species
UACGUAGGGUGCAAGCGUUGUCCGGAAUUAUUGGGCGUAAAGAGCUCGUAGGCGGUUUGUCGCGUCUGCUGUGAAAUCCCGAGGCUCAACCUCGGGCCUGCAGUGGGUACGGGCAGACUAGAGUGCGGUAGGGGAGAUUGGAAUUCCUGGUGUAGCGGUGGAAUGCGCAGAUAUCAGGAGGAACACCGGUGGCGAAGGCGGUUCUCUGGGCAUGUCCUGACGCUGAGGCGCGAAAGCGUGGGGAGCAAACAGG